AUUCAAGCCUCCAGGCUCGAAUAAUAAGGACAUUUAGACAGCCUGCUUGACAGACUGGUUCCACAAGUCUGCUUGAAGAUGUUUCAUUUAAACACUCCAAUCAGUAUUUAAAAUGUCAACUGAUGCCUAUUAUUGCUGAAGCAGUGUGAAAAAGAAAACUGCAUUUACUGUAUCUCUCAGAUAGUUUACUUGAUCAGAUAAUGAGAAACAAAGGCUUGUCCUCUCUGAAAAAAUACUACAUUUUUCUGGAACACAUUCACUUGAGUGAGCAACUCAGCAACCAGACACAGAGAAACAAAAUUAUCUGUUUGUCUGCUUUUCUAGCUAACAUGAAAAAUAGAAAACAUCUUGAAGAAGGAAAGGAGAGGAUAUUUUAUCAAUUUAAUGUAGUAUAAUACCCUCUGUUAUUGUGAU